CAGUCGCCACGGGAACACGAAGGGUGCAAGCGUUACUCGGAAUUACUGGGCGUAAAGCGUGCGUAGGUGGUGGUUUAAGUCCGUUGUGAAAGCCCUGGGCUCAACCUGGGAAUUGCAGUGGAUACUGGAUCACUAGAGUGUGGUAGAGGAUAGUGGAAUUUCCGGUGUAGCAGUGAAAUGCGUAGAGAUCGGAAGGAACAUCUGUGGCGAAGGCGACUAUCUGGGCCAACACUGACACUGAGGCACGAAAGCGUGGGGAGCAAACAGGAUUAGAGACCCCGGUAGUCCCUGUCUCUUAUAC
rnacentral:rRNA from 1 species